ACGACCUUUUGGCCAACUGUUGCGUGGUAGACAGUUGUCGACUAUUACUACUGUAUCACCCACCUGAAGCGGCCGCACGUGUUCAAACCACUUCGAUCGACGGGUCAGCAUAGGAAGAUAUUCGGCUAUCCAUCUCUUCCAGAACAAGUCGGCAAAGUGCUGAGCGGCUCGCCAGGCUGAUUUCACGACGGCGCCACCCUCCGUAAAUACCGCGGGCGGCUUCGAUCCGUCGGAGCUUCCAAGCAGUAGAUGGUUUGGCGUCAGCGGGGUGUCCAUCUCGUCGUCCAGUGCAUCCGCCGAAGUGUGGUGCAGCCGGUGGGUUGAAGCUCCACUUCAUAUCCGGGCCGGUGAAUUCGGUCAUCAGCGCGUCAACGUCAACAGCUUGAAAUGCCUCUUCCAGUUCACGUGCCGAACCGACGAAAUUCGCUCCUCUGUCGCUGAUCAUCUCCAACGGUUUUCCACGUCUUGCCACAAAACGUCGAAUCGCCAUGAUACAGGAUGCCGUGGUCAGCGAAUGAGCCAUCUCCAGGUGCAUAGCUCGGGACGUCAGACAGGGUUACGUGGCGUUUCAAGGCUGCAGCUUUAUUACACGGCAGGCGGAUGUCGUCGUAUUUCCAUAGUAGUCCUGUUUCGAACCUGUCACCCUGCAGCUUCGUUUCCUUGGUAAGUAUCGCCAGCGCUCGUUCAUCGUCCUUGGAUUUGAGUGGAUGCGGAGAUUUAGUGAUACCGAGCGUAUCCAGGGAGAAGAAUGCCUUGACCUCCACCGUCAGCAGAUAGUCGUUGCUUGUCUCGCAACUGCAAACGUGAAAACUUCUGUAUCCUCCAGACGCGUUAGCGGUUGCGAUUGGACAAGGGAUUUGCUUAAUCUACAGUUGUCGACGCCAAUUAGAAGUCGAGGUACAGCAUGUGUGUAAGAGGCUAACGGCAAACCUUUCAGGUGUGGGUACGCUGCUUCCAAUUGUUGCACAUCAAUCGAUUGUGAGGGUAACGCUAGAUUGGUAACGGUGUGUACCUUAGCCAGAUCGUGUACGGAGGCUCCUUUGUACGCACCAGAGAUCUGCACCGCUAACUGAACAGAGGCCUUUUCAUCUCUGGUUGUAUCUCCUGUCCACUUGAGACACAACGGCCGGGACGUACCACUCAAACCCAACUCUUUCAUCAGACUGUGGUCCAUGAAGGUUGACGAUGAUCCUUCGUCGAGAAACGCGAAAGUGUGAACCACUUUGCCGUCUUUACCACGUACUAUUACCGGCACAUAACGGAACAGGGUCCGAUCGUUUGAGCCGGAGUGCGUUAAACAGUGUUUCUCCGCCGCGUUACCAGUACUCAAGGCCCCGUGAAGCAGCUUAUGAUGCAUCGCCUCGCACCCGUUCACAGCACAAUGCGUUUUAAGCUACCGUCCUCUUGAGGAAACGUUGGCAAUCGACUAGUGCGGCACACUCUCCCUGGCAUGCGGAACAUUUAGGAGUAGAAAGAGUGUACUUACCGCUCGAGGCUGUAGCGUGCAUGUUCACGUGCGUAGUCGUCGGAUGACGCUGCUCUGGUCGUGACGGUUUACCACCGCGUCGGCGAUCUGUGUCUGACGGUCCGUCAGGUCUUACGGGAACCACUCUACUGAGAGCCUCUGCUAGAUCGCUGAUCCACCUUCCAAACUCCGUCAAAGUUACGCUAGGUAAGCGCUGCUGAUACCUCGCCCACUCGAUGCAAGUCGUCGACGGCAAUUUCGAUACCAGCUCCUUCAUCAGGACUACGUUGCAUGUGUAUUCGGGCAGCCCAGACGCCCUGAUGGUCGCACACAUGUUUCGUACCGCGAAUCCAAAGUCGGCCAAGGUCUCCAGUCUAUCAGCUCUUGGUGCAGGCAUGCUCCUCACUUUCUGUAUCAACGCGUCCACAAUCACAUCAGGUCUACCGAAGCGCAGCUUGAGUGUGGCUAUAGCUUCCUUCAAUCCCGAUGGCAGCAACAGCAACGAGCUUACCGCUUCCAACGCAGCUCCUUUCAACGCCUUCUGCAACCUCAUCAGAUUUUCAUCGUCGGAAUAUCCGCAGACUGCUGUCGAGUGCUCGUAGCUAGCAAUAAAGAGUGGCCACUGUU